rnacentral:sRNA from 1 species
GGAUGUCAAAAUGGUACCAACCAGUAUUUUCUUUGCUCUCUUCUAGAUAUGGUUUUGUGGAGUUUGAUGAUCUGCGUGAUGCAGAUGAUGCUGUUUAUGAACUGAAUGGCAAAGACCUUUGUGGUGAGCGAGUAAUUGUUGAGCAUGCCCGCGGCCCACGGCGAGAUGGCAGUUACGGUUCUGGACGCAGUGGAUAUGGUUAUAGAAGAAGUGGCCGAGAUAAAUAUGGCCCUCCUACUCGCACAGAGUACAGACUUAUUGUGGAGAAUUUGUCAAGUCGGUGCAGCUGGCAAGACCUAAAGGAUUAUAUGCGUCAGGCAGGAGAAGUGACUUAUGCAGAUGCUCACAAGGGACGCAAAAAUGAAGGGGUGAUUGAAUUUGUAUCUUAUUCUGAUAUGAAAAGAGCUUUGGAAAAGUUGGAUGGAACUGAAGUCAAUGGCAGAAAAAUCAGAUUAGUUGAAGACAAGCCAGGUUCCAGACGACGCCGGUCCUACUCCAGAAGCCGGAGUCAUUCAA